rnacentral:rRNA from 1 species
UAUCAGUCAUGCAUAGCAUAUCAAUAAGCGGAGGAAAAGAAACUAACAAGGAUUCCCUUAGUAACGGCGAGUGAAGCGGGAAGAGCUCAAAUUUGAAAUCUUCAAGGUUCUACCUUGACGAAUUGUAGUUUAUAGAAGUGUUUUCUGUUAGUGGAGUGGCAAAAGUUCUUUGGAAUAGGACAUCAUAGAGGGUGAGAAUCCCGUAUUUGGUCAUUCCUCCUAGCGUUGUGAUACACUUUCAACGAGUCGGAUUGUUUGGGAAUGCAGUCCAAAAUGGGUGGUAAAUUUCAUCUAAAGCUAAAUAUUGGCGAGAGACCGAUAGCGAACAAGUACCGUGAGGGAAAGAUGAAAAGAACUUUGAAAAGAGAGUUAAACAGUACGUGAAAUUGUCAAAAGGGAAGCGUUUGACACCAGUGUUGUUUUUCCGAAAAUCAAUUACGAAUGUUUUGUUUUUGAAGAAGUUAUGACUUCAUCGGCUUGCUUCUCUCUUUACGAAACUUUCUUAAUGCACUUUUCGGUUAACAAGUCAACAUCAAUUUCUUUUGUUGUAAAAGGGUAUGAGGAAGGUGGCUUUCUUUUCGGAGAAAGUGUUUAUAGCCUUGUGCCUCUGCAAUCGGAGAGAUUGAGGUCUGCAGCGUAGAUCCUUCGGGGUUAGAUACGUUUGUGCUAAGUUAUAGCUUUUCAUAGACAACUUGUUGACUAUGUUUAGUCUUGUAGCUUACUCGCUGACGCUAUUUUACCUACGCUUAGGAUGUUGAUCUCUCACAGUCGAGC